CUUUGAGCAAGAACUUUGUUGCAAAAUCUCAAGUAGAAACGAGAAUAGGAAAGGGAGAUCGAUCCCAAUCUUGUGGAGCUAUAAGCACCGCUGAAACAGGGGAUGGGGACUGAGUUUAAGAUACUCAAGUAGGAAAGGAACAGGAAGAAGAGAAAGGAGAAGAGAAGAAGAAAAGAG